rnacentral:tRNA from 2 species
GGCGGCGUAGCCCAAUGGCAGGAGGCAACAGAUUCAAAACCUGUACAGUGUGAGUUCGAGUCUCACCGCCGCUAC